rnacentral:rRNA from 1 species
GACGAACGCUGGCGGCGUGCUUAACACAUGCAAGUCGAACGGGAUCCGGGCUUUCGGGUUUGGUGAGAGUGGCGAACGGGUGAGUAACACGUGAGUAACCUGCCCCCUUCUUUGGGAUAACGUCGGGAAAUCGGCGCUAAUACUGGAUAUUCUUGCUGCAUCGCAUGGUGUGGUUUUGAAAGGGUUUCUGGUGGGGGAUGGGCUCGCGGACUAUCAGCUUGUUGGUGGGGUGAUGGCCUACCAAGGCUUUGACGGGUAGCCGGCCUGAGAGGGUGUCCGGCGACACUGGGACUGGGACACGGCCCAGACUGCUACGGGAGGCAGCAGUGGGGAAUAUUGCACAAUGGGCGCAAGCCUGAUGCAGCGACGCAGCGUGAGGGAUGACGGCCUUCGGGUUGUAAACCUCUUUCAGUAUGGAACAAGGAUCCUUAUUAUGGGGGGUUUGAGGGUACGUGCAGAAGAAGCGCCGGCUAACUACGUG